GCGUUGGAUGUUAACGUGGAGAGAGCGGAGGAUGUGAUCACGUAUAAAAGAGUUUUGCAGACACCAGAAGCUCAUUCAAAGAUUUGGGAAACACUUAGCUUGACAGUAUGAAGAUAUUGGGCACUUAGAAUCAAGUGAUGCUAACGAUACUUAGUGUAGGUGUCGUGAAAGCAAUGAGUAACCAAUUGCUUAGGUGGUGGUAUGCCUGUCCACGCUUUCGACUAUAGAUCACAUACCAUGUGAUUCAUCAGACAACUGUACCAUAUAACAUUUGCAUUCAAGAGUUAUUGGAGUCAGAUGAACAUGAGAGACGACUCAAGUUCAACCCGACAAGAAAUUCAAUGAUAUUUCAUAAA